rnacentral:sRNA from 1 species
GCUGAGCGAACGGUUCGAGACCAAAGGCUCGAGCCGAGCGAAGCGAGACAGCGUUGCAAAGCAACGACCCGAAGGGCGAGGCCAGAGGCCGAGUAAUC